GUUGGAGUACUGCAACAAUGGAAAAAAACCUGGUCAUACCAAGUUCACUCUCCCUUUCAAUAUCCACUCUCUGCCACAUUGUGAUACAGGAGACUGGGAAAGAUGGGCCUAUGGUCUGAUGCAGGGACAGGGCACAG